ACGAAGGGGGCUAGCGUUGUUCGGAUUUACUGGGCGUAAAGCGCACGUAGGCGGGUCGUUAAGUCAGGGGUGAAAUCCCGGAGCUCAACUCCGGAACUGCCUUUGAUACUGGCGACCUUGAGGCUGGAAGAGGUUAGUGGAAUUCCCAGUGUAGAGGUGAAAUUCGUAGAUAUUCGGAAGAACACCAGUGGCGAAGGCGACUUACUGGACACAUAUUGACGCUGAGGUGCGAAAGCGUGGGGAGCAAACAGGA
rnacentral:rRNA from 1 species